UACGUAGGGGGCGAGCGUUAUCCGGAAUUACUGGGCGUAAAGCGCGCGCAGGCGGCUAUCCAAGUCAGUGGUGAAAGCCCGGAGCUCAACUCCGGAACUGCCAUUGAAACUGUUUAGCUUGAGGAUGAGAGAGGUGAGUGGAAUUCCCAGUGUAGAGGUGAAAUUCGUAGAUAUUGGGAAGAACACCGGUGGCGAAGGCGGCUCACUGGCUCAUUACUGACGCUCAGGCGCGAUAGCGUGGGGAUCAAACAGG
rnacentral:rRNA from 1 species